AAGGAAUUUUAAAAUUGCUCAAAACCUUGCUGCCUUGAGUCUGGUUCUGCGUGUGUAAGAAAAGACAGAGUAAGGUUUAGUAGCAGGAGUGAAGAGGCAGGCAGGGCAGGAGCAGACCAGAAGAAGCUGGCAAGGCCAUCCAAACCACCCAGCCGCUAUUGGCCAGAGCCGCCUGAAGCAGACCUCCUCGGACUGGCAACAGCUGACUCUGACUAGGACAGACUGGGCUCUUUCCAACUGGGCCCCCAUGAGCCGAUGGUCGAAAUGAAAAUCGGGGGCCAGACUGUGAACUUUAUGGUUGAUACAGGGGCAGAGUACUCGGUACCAAAAUGGAAGCAGAAACCACUUUUGCCCCAGAUGGCUCAGCAUAGCCUUGGCUAGGUGAAGAGACCUCCCCAAUGAUCCUGUCCUUAACAGUGCUGAGGAAGGAAGAAUGGAGACUUUAUACCCCCCAGCCAAAGGCCCCCACAUCUGUUCCUGUCAGGCCCCCAUCAGGGGACUUGGACGGUGUUCCUGAUAUCUGCUCAAGAUCCCAAGACUGUAAAAGUACUUGUUCACUGAAAGGGUGUAAGUGUGGAUGUUUAUUUGAUGUUUGUAUGUCUACUUAGGUAUAAUUAUUUGUUCAUGUAAGUGUGGAAGUCUGCAAGAAAAAAAAAAUGUUUGAUUUAAGGCUGAGUGCUCUGACCGAUAGCAAAACGCCCUGAGCGGCCGCUGGGUUCUUUUCCCAAGGGCGCUUGCUCUCUGUCAGAGGUGGAAUCAGCCCGCCUAAC